AGAAUAGAACAACACUGUUCUCUUAGGCUGCAGUUUCCUUCAAGCCCCACGAUGGAGAGAAGCAGGCUAAUGCAGGAACCAGAGGCAGGAGAAGUGUCCCCUCCAGUCGGUGCGGGUGUCAACAGCAACAGCUGGACCUUUAAAUACGGACCAGGCAACCCCAAACAAUCCGGUCCCGGUGAGUUGCCCGACAAAUUCAUUAUCCCAGGAUCUCCUGCAAUCAUCUCCAUCCGGCAGGAGCCUACUAACAGCCAAAUUGACAAAAGUGACUUCAUAACCUUCGGCAAAAAGGAGGAGACCAAGAAAAAGAAGAAAAAGAAGAAGGGUAACAAGACCCAGGAGAAAAAAGAGAAAGGGAACAGCACGACUGACAACAGUGACCAGUGAGGUCCUCAAAUGGAAACAAGCCACUUAGCCAGUUUUUGUAAUAAUGGCAAAUCUCUCCCAUGUAGCAAUUCCCUGCUCCUUUUUCCUAUCUACAUGAGCCCUCUUAGAGACCUCAGAAAUCUGCAGAAAGUUCCCUGUGUCUGUCUAGAACGCAUUUAACAGG
rnacentral:misc_RNA from 1 species